AUGUCUACUUUCUGUUCUUUAAUUAAAAAUUGUGGUUUCUUUGAUAUCGGUUAUAGUGGACCUGCUUACACUUGGCGUAAUAGACAGCACACUGCUAAUCCUAUUUAUAGACGUCUAGAUUGAUGUCUUGUUAAUGCUGAUUGGUGUGCUCACUAUCCUAAUACCAAGGUGCUUAAUUUGCCCAUUAUUCUUAGUGAUCAUGCUCCAAUUCUACGGAUGGUAAUUUCUCUAAGCCUAAACAAACUUUCAAAUUUGAAAAUUGGUGAUUGCUUGAGAAAGAUUUUAGUGAAUUUGCUAAAUCAUCUUGGAACACUGCUAGGUCUGCUUCGUUUUCGGCGAAAUCUUCUUCUCUUCCCGGUUCUUUGA
rnacentral:rRNA from 1 species